CCAACCACGUCAAAAUCCUCCCU
rnacentral:siRNA from 1 species